rnacentral:lncRNA from 1 species
UUCUUAUGACAUUUACAUCUUACUCAAUAUAGUUCACAGAUAUAUCUACAUAUAGCUAAAAGAGACUAUUAAUAAGAAAACUAUUUUCAAUCUUUUUAUUUUUAAAAUAAAUAUUACAGUGGUCCUUAUAAAAACUAAUUACAUAGUCUUUUUGUAUCAAAUAAGAGAUAAAAAUUAGAUUUCUACUUGCAGCAGGUACAUAGUAACAGUCUUUAAGUACUAAACUAAUCCUCGACGGUA